ACCACCGGAAAAGGAAAAAAUAGUGCAGCUGCCGCCAGUCAACAAAUUUUCUUUUUUUCCCCCGUUAAAUUCCUCUCUUAAAUAUGAUGAGUAUUUCUCAAUGUUUAUUUUCAUUUUCAAUGCCUCAACGGUCACAUUUUCAAAUGAUGAUUUCUUUCUAUGGGGUUUGCCUCCAAGAAGAUUGCCGAAGUGUAACUUAUUCAUUUGCUUCUUUGGUUGUUCGUUUAACCUUCUUUCCUCUUAGUGGAAUUUGAUUCUUUUUUUGUGCAUCUUCGGUAACUGAACUUGGGGGUUUUGGUUUUUUAUUUUUGGGAGCCUAAAUUCACUCCUUCCUUGGUGAAUUCAAGUUGUGAGUUGUUAAGCAAGUGGGUUUACGUUGAAGUUGCAAUGACGGAGGGAGAACUCUAUAAUGAUUUCGGACAGAUAGGCGGAUGCUAUUAAAUUUCUAACUUUCAGGAAGCUUAAUCAAGAAGAUGGUAAAGCCCCCGGAGCUGUUUCCUUGUGUGAUGUGGAUCUUGAUCAAGUUAGCGUUGAUUUUUUCCUCAAUUGGUGCAAUAAAAGGUAGGGAAUGUCAACUCCAAAAUAUAGCCUCUACAUAUUUGCUUUAAAAUGGAUUGCAAUCAUCAGGUCAGGAUUUUUUUUUUGAGUUGGCGAACUUCUUGAACUAUCUGAAGUUAUUUGAGAUUAUCACCACAACACUCUGUUCACUCAUAUGGUAUAUUCAGACUUGCACAGACAUUAUUUUCUGUUCAAUGGUCACUAUUUUAUGAAUGUUCUGCACAUACAUUAAUUUCUGUUGAAUAGUUACUAUUUGUGAAUGUUCCACUUUCAGAGGUUUAUCUACUGCAACAUAGAAUUAUUCCAUAUGGUAUUGUUGUGCAGCACUUUUUACCUAUUUCAGAACUUUAUUUAGUGUGUUUAAUUAUCAAUGUUUAUUUUCAUUCUUGACGGUUUCCUUUUGGUAUUACGAGUAAUGCAAGUUCAAAUGAUGAAUGCUUUCUAGCUACAAAUCAUGAGCUCUCAGGCUUGCCUCCAGGAAGAUUGCCUGUCCAUAUUUCCACAUCAUCAAUUUUGCAAACACUCUCAACGUCAGGAUCAAUUGAUACUGAACCAUUUGAAGAGCUGUAUAGUUUAUCCAAAUCUCAGUAUCUCAGUUCCACACAACAACAAGAGUUAACAGUUGACAACAUUGAGGAUUUUGAUGACGGUGAUGAUCUAGAUGAACUUGACAGUCGAAGAUAUUCAAGAAGAGUUCUCAAUGAUGCUGCUGAUCUCGUGCUUGGAUUGCCGUAAUUUGCUACUGCUAUUGGCGAUGAUUAUCUCCGUGAAACAGCAUAUGAGAUCCUUCUGGCUGCUGCUGGAUCUUUAGGAGGCCUCGUUGUACCUUCAAAGGACAUAUAGAAGGAGAAGACAUCUAGAUUGAUGAGGAAGCUGGGCCGUAGUAAAAGUGACAAUGUAAUGACCCAGUCACAACAUUUAUCUGUACUGGUCAGUUCGUUGGAGACAAUGCGUGUCCAGAUGGAGAUUCCUGGAGGCCAUGGACGUCAGGACAAGACUUGGUCUCCUUAAUGCGAUGGUUGGAAAAGUGGGUAAAUGAUGUAUACAAUCUUGAUCCCACUGGAAUUGUUAUGAUGUAUUUCAUGUACCGAGUUUUCCGACAAAAAGUCAUAUAAGUGGCAAAAGAGACAAUUCAGUUAAACAUGUUGGAGGAGGAGGGGCUUAUAAAUCAUCCUGUUAUAGGGUUGGGGAAUCUGGGUGAAAAGCAAAUAAGCUAAGGGUUCUUUUAGCUAAGAUAGAAGAAUCUGAGUCUUUUCCUCCUCCUGCAGCAGAGAUGCAAAGGAUAAUGUUUAAAAUCUUUGAGAGAGAUCCCUAUGCCACUGGCAGAAAGGCCAGCUCGAGGUGACUUAACUGGUGAAGUAUGCCACCGUGCUGAUGGUUAUCACCUGAAUGUCAAAUUAUACGGGAAUCUACUUCUCAGUGUUUUUGAUGUUUUAGAUGAGGGAAAAGCUCACAGAGGUCAGUAAAACCCACUUGAAUGUCAGGAUAAAGAUGAUCAUCUUGUCUCUUACACUGGAAAGUAGUACUCUUGGGAUGUCUCCUUUCUCUUAAAAGAAGGAAGUUAAAGAAAUUUUGGAGCUUCUUAAGUCCACAUGGCGUAAUUUGGGAAUCAUCGAAACCAUCCACUACACUUGCUAUGCUUGGGUAUUAUUUUGACUGGUAUAAAAUGACAAAAAAGGUCGGGAACCGAGAAUACACUGAUAUACAGCGUGAUACGGCGAUAUACACCAGCUGUAUAUUGUGUAUAAAUGCAACAUAAAUGGGCACAAAAAGCCCCCAAAAUUUCAGAAAUUGUAUUUUGUUACUUUGGCCUAAGCCCCUUUUGCCUUUUAUUAUUAUUUGUUAGAUUAGGACAGGUGGAGGUUUGGGCGUAAAGUGAAGCCCACUAAAAAAUCAAACUGCUAUGUUAGUUUAGGACAGGCACGAAAAGAAGAAUUGGGCCACAUAUGCAGAUGCAGCGUGAUACACCAAUUACAUCAGCUGUAUAUUGUGUAUAAAUGCAGCAUAAAUGGGCCCAACAAACCCGCAAAAUUUCAGAAAUUGUAUUUUGUUAUUUCGGGCCUAAGCCCCUUUGUUUUUUUAUUAUUAUUUGUUAGACUAGGACAGGUGGAGGAUUGACCCUAAAGCCCACUAAAAAUCAAAUUGUUAUGUUAGUUUUGGACAGGUAUGACAGGAAGAAUUGGGCCACAUAUACAUGAGUCAAAAGCCCAAAAUGAAAUUAGGCCCAAGUACUGGCCCAGAUGGACAAAACCAGACUCGGGCCCAAUUUCUCUUCUUCAUCUUGUAUUUAUUUUGAUUGUUAUUGCUUGUUUAUUUGUUUGUUUAAUUUUAAGGUUUUUCCUAAACCAAUUCGCCAAAA